UAAAUAAGGUGCAAAUUGGAUACCACAAGACUGUCUAAUGGCCUUCCAUUUCAUUUUAGUCUGGCUCCUGUAUAAAACUGAGGUUGCAGUCCUGAAGGUAAUAAAGGUAAUAAUAUCGACUUAAUUUCCAGUAUGGGAGCAGUACUGUGGAUUUCAUGAGCUGGAUGCUCCUAUCCUCAGGUAAAGAGCCCAGACCUUGGUAACUGAACCUCCCUGGUGAACGAGCACUCAGCCCCUCACCCACAUCAUGGUAAAUACUCCUAUGCUGUGAAUCCAUUGGUAAGGAUUAAAAAAAAAACAAACUAAUACAAGUCUGAAAACAAUCACAGAUCAUUAAUGGGUUUAUUGUCCUUUUUAUUAGUGGACAUUAAUCAACAGCAUGCUGUCCUAGUCCUAACAUUUGCAUGUGUGCCUGUAGCAAUGUUAAUGGUUUGCCUUUCAGGGAACUGGAAUACCCCGAGAAUGGGUGUUUUGUACCUAAACUGGGAAAACAGAAUGCAAGGGAACACGAUGCUUUACAAGUUAACAGUUCAUUUAGUCUGGGAUUUUCAAUAAUUCCUCUGAUUAGCACACUAAUGAGGUAGAGGGAAAAGCAAGGUUCAGAGUUAAAAAUGUGAUGUAGCAGAUUCAAGGUGAUGACAAAGACAUUAUUUUCAGGAAAAAAGGAUUCAAGGUAUGCUUUCAGCAAGCAAGAAGUUUAAUAACUCAAAAUACUUUUUCAUUUUCAGCAGCCUCUGCUCUAUGGAUCACUGUCUGACUUUUCAACAAGGGAAAAUCAAGCAAUGAAUUUAUUUCUCAAAACUAAGGAAGAUUUUACUUGAGAUAUGAUAUUUAAAUUAUAUUAAAACAUGAAUAAAUAGUAGAUUCUCUUUAAUAUCAUAUACUGAUGAUGUUUCUAGAAAAACCCUAAAAUAUACAACAAGGAAUUUGCUUUCAGAUAGACACUAAAAGCAAGCUGCCUAGUUUUCAGCUGGUACAAAUCUGUGCUGCUCCACUGCUGUCCAUGAAGCUGCACUGUUUUACACCAGGAUCUGGCCCAAAAACCUUCAUCCCUGAAUAAUUCACGAGGACAGAAGUGAUGGGAAAACCAGGCUCUAACCAGUUUGAUGGAGGAAGAAUACCAAAAGGUGCAAAAAGACUGAAACCAGGACAUGUUCAUCCUUAAGAUUUAUGCAUUUUGAAAACAACUCAGAAGGUGGCAAGAAGGCAGAGCCUGGAGAAUCAAAGCAAAAAGCAAACCAGCAGGCAACGAAAGUCAGCAACAAGACAGAAAUGUCACAUCCUACAAAACCCAGUUCUAAACCUGUAGUAUUUUCAUCCAUUUACUGUCUUUGGACUAAACACCAACACUGAUGCUUAAACAAAAAUUCAAGUGUUCCUUGGUAAACAGUGUUCACGCAGGUUAUGCCACUUUACUAUGACAGGUAAAGUUAAAGAGUAAAUUUACAGCAUUGAUCAGGACUCUCUCAUGUCCCACAUCCUGAGCUAAUACAGCCCAGAGCACCCUUAAUUUAAAAAAUAUAUGGGAUCCACUACUUAUCCUGAAGUAAGACUAACCACACUGUGCAACAAUGCAAGCACCUUUCUGGGGACCUGAAGCUGGUUGACAAAUACUUGAUCUCACACACAAUUUGGUCCUAGUUAUUUCCAAAGUUAUGACUCCCCUACAGAAUGCUUAACUUUGGCAUGGAGCCUGAUUCUGACAUUUAUCUCGUGAUCCCAUGAUCAAACAAGUCUGCGUGCAAACCUCGGUGCACUCAGAGGUUGAGGCAUAAUUUGCUUAAUUUUUUUAAUACUUAAAUGUAAUUCCCAAGAUGCUGGAAUGAAUCAUUUCUAUGUCUGCCUUUAAUAUAAAUCAAAUUUAGGCAGCUGUGCAUUUUCAGAUCUAAACCACCCGUUUGCUUUCAUGCACAUUUGAGUUAUGAUCUCAUUUGCAGUGACAGAAAAGAAAGGUUGAAUAAUCUAAUUUAACCAAGUAUCAGAGACUGAAAAUUCCUUUGCAAAGAGUCUACUUAAUAACUGCCAUCUAAUUCAUCUCAGGUAUUCAACUUUUAUCUGGCACACAGAUUUUAAGCAUAUGGGAGCCACAUGCAAAGCAUAAUUUAAUAGUGGGCUGCAUCUCAACACCAUGUGAGUCCGGGAAGUGCCACACCCAACUACCACCAUCAGCCUCAUCAAUUAUUGUGGACCCUGGAUAAACUUUGCAUUUCAUUAACAGGAUUCUUCGUGGCUGCAAAUGCUGCCUGCUUAUGGUACCUACCAAUAGCAGUACCACAAUGAGGUAAGUUUUGACCUUGCCUUCCUCAAAACAUUUGGCAAAACCACUGUCUUCACAUUCCUCUUUUUCUUGAACUUUUUCCCCACACUCCCCCCCCAUAGAAAAUGCUUCCAAGUACUGGGGGCAGAUGGUGGCUCUCUGGAAUAACAACCUCACCUUAUCCAAGGUUUUCUGAGUCAACAGAAAAGCCUCUACCGGUUUUAAGCACCUCUGGGCCAGCCCUGAAGGUGUAGCCAGGUACUAGGAAUGGAAUUUUUUCACUAAUCAGCUUCCUAGAGUCAAGGAUCACACGCACUUGGGCAUGCCUGUGGUCAACUUGCCUUCCACUUAAGUGUGGGAAAACGCUGCCCUGAAAGGCUGUUUACAGCCUGUGAUUGAGGCACAACAGCAAAUAGCACCCCUGGAUGAACCUGGGAGGACAGCCACGCGUGGAGGAGGGUGUGAAAACAACAAAUUGUUAUGUUUCUGUAAAAAAACACCAAAAAGUUUGCGGUGCAUAAAAUAAUAGAGAAACAGUAUUUUGAAAAAUCAGCUAUAGCCAUCACUCUAAAACUCUAGCAAACCUUGCCCUUGUUAUUAUCAUUAUUAUCUCCUAAACCCACCAGAGUUGCACCUGGCACUUUACAGGGAGAACAGUAACAAAAGAACUUUCCUGAGAGCAUUAGGAUCAAAGCACUUAGCACAGAUUUAAGGGCUUUAUGUUUAUUGCAUGAUUAGUGUUGUUAACAUGCCAAGAACUGGAGACUGGCAUGCUGCUGAUAUUUUCAAAUAAAUAUACUGCCUAGUUUAAAUAAAUUCAAGAAAAAAGGUUUAAAUAAAUACAGCAGAACUAUUUCCAUAUCAACUGUUUCCAUAAAGGUCAGAAUGCAAUGCUAAACAUCUGCAAUGACUUGCUCUGCUCUGCUUGUGUUUUUGUGCCCACAAAAAAUUUGUUUUCUGUUUCAGAGUUUAGGAGAUGAUCAUUCUGUUUCACCAAGUGUGUGCAAAUUGCUUUAAAAUAGCCCCUUCUGCAUCUCCUGAUCUCAUAGCUUGGGAGAUGAGGGUACAUCUUGUUCAUUAAGACCUCUCUAAAAUAGAAAGGCUGCUACUUGAUGCAUAGGGCUGGCAGCAGGAAGAAAACCAGAAUAUGGUCAAAAUCUCUUAAAAUUUUGUCCAAAAUUUCUGGUGAAUUUCUGGCAGUGGGGUCAGUUCAGCACCAAGAGGACUCUAGAGCCCUGGGCACAAAUGAACAGAUUUUGGCAAGAAAAAGGUACCACAGAGCAGUCAAGAAGAAAUGGAACCACUGCUCCUUGUAAGCUUUGUGCAUGGAAGGGGCAGCUCCACAAAGGGCAGAAGGGCAUAUCCCAAGCAAGAACCUGGGAACAGUGUCCCCCAGAAGUGAAAAGUUGCAGAAAAUGCUGUCAGACCACUUUUCAGACCCACCGUGCAUCAGCAGACAACGACUUGGGAGGUAUUUAAGACAAUGAAUGCAAGCUGUGGAGAUCACCCAAUGAAUUCCCAAAGAUAGGAAUGAUAGCUCAGCAAGGGCAGGGCUGGGAAGGAUUAGACUGAAAAUGGCUUUAUCAGAUUCUGCCAGGAGCAACUUUUCAGAGGAAAUUAAAAUCAAUCCUUGUAGAUUUAGACUGCCCCACAUUAAGGAUUUUACGGAAAGUCAGCAGCUGUAAGUAAGCCCUGGUUCAUCCUUUCCAACAAUCUGAGACAAAAUGUGUUGGAUGAAAUAAAGCAGAAAAGCAACAGAGCCCUCCAAUGCUUUACACCCAUUUUCCAAGAGGGCUGUGUUCCUGGAUGCCAGCAAACUUCUCCAACUACAAGCAAACCCAACAAUGUACCCUCAUAGCUAUCCUUCAGCAGCCUAUUAGUCUGUAUCACCUUUUACUGCCACCACCACUGCUGCUGUCAGAUACUGAAACCAUAUUCUGGUGACUUCUGUACCUCUGAAAUCUCUGAGCACAAAGGACAUCAACAGACACAUCACCAAUGAAAGCCUGGAUCCUUCCUCACCAGCUGAACCUCCACCAGGAAUCUUAAAAUGUUGGAACCUUUGUGAGCUGUUCAGCAACAGGGGCUCUGUGGCUUCACAACAGCAAGGUGUUUCAGCAGGUAAUCCCCUUGGCUUCAGUGAGACAGGCUGAAAGCAAGGCUGAAACACUUUAGGAGAUGUUUAGGAAAUGUUUAUUGCUGCUCUGAAGCCCUAUUUCUCUGACCAAUGUGUUUUAUCAUGGUCUUGUGCCCAUCUGCAGUGGCAUGGUGAGAAAUUCCUAAAGCUGGGUGGGGAUACAAGCAGGGCAGGAGUCACCCAGCUUGGCCUUCCUUUCCUCACAAACUAAGGAGCCAUGACUUAAGACACAAGGGUGCUGAGCGUGUAUGGUCAUGGUAAUUUUAGCUGGUGCAUGGCCAAAAAGUACAUGUGAUUUUUGUACAUUUAAAAGGAAGAGGGAUCUCUACAUUUAAGGGAGGGCAAAUGGACCAGAGACCUGAACAAAACACACCAAAGCACUGCACUGCAGUUUUGAAAGAGGCUUUAGAAAUGUUUCAUCCAAACUGAUUCCUCAGAGAAAUGAGGUGAUUGAAAAAAAAGGCAUGAACACUAGGGAUUUUGGAAUGUAUAGUCUGAAUGUGUUUGUGAGCAUUAUCCAGAGCCCCUGUGGAAGUGUUCUGAGGAGGCCUCUUGGAGCUGGAGCACAGUGCCCAGUCUGAACAGGAGCAGGCUCUGCCCCAGUAUUCCCAAGGAGCCCUCAUUGCCCUGGGCAUGGGCAAGAGGGAACUUCCAUGCUGGCCUGCCCUGUCUCUGCAGUGCCCACAAGGUCUCCAUUCUCCAGAGGCACAAGAGCUUCCCAAGUCAUUACUGCAAAAGGGAGAAAUCUUCUAAAAAAAAAAAAAAAAUCACUACAUCUUCACCUUUCUACUACCAAACUCAGCUGCAGGGACUGGAUCUGAGCAACAGCAAUGAUUGCAGUGUGGAAUAUAGAGUGUGAAUCUGGAAAAUAAGCAAAACUGCAGGCAGACCUCCCAAAAACCCAGCUCAGGGAUCUGCCUGAAGAUGCUGCAUUUCACAGCUCAUCCCUGAAAGUGUGUUACUGCUUUAAUGUGUCCCUUGCAGUCUCAUGCAUUCCUGUACUCAGAGCCAGUGCUUUGGGAGACAAAUAUUCCAAGCAAUUGUCCUUUUAUUUAUUGCUUUAUUUCUCCUGUGUGGGCAUGUGCAGAUGUGCAGGAGAUCUGCAGCCAGGGAUGGGCCACCCAUAACACAAGGACUGAAGCCAGCCAUUGCUGAACAGCAGCCUCACCACUUCUUGUUUGAGUUUAGGCCUAGAAAAUGGCUAUUUCAUUGAGAAAAUGUGUAAGGGAGGAGGUGUAAAAAGGCAACCACAGAGGCAUGCCAAAUGCAGCCAAACAGCCACUGCACUGUGGGAGGAAAGAGACUGCUCUGAGUGGGAAAGUACACUGAGGAACUUGGGGAGAAGAUGCACUGUCUGGGGGCAAAGGGAUGAGAAGAUUUUAAAGAUAUCUGAAAAUAACAUUUGUGAGUCUGAACACUGGUCCAGCUCCUGCCUGUCCUGGCAGUGACAACAGGAGAGGCUGUUUAAGGACAGCAGAUGAGAUUCUCUGCAGCUCCUUUCCCUCGUCCUUGUUCUGCAUUUAGGCACCAGAUUAGGGAGGUCAGAAGGGACAUUGCUGACCAGUCCUUUUACUUCUCCAUCACACUAAAAGGUCAUGAGGGGUGUAAAGACCAAUGGGGGCUUGCAAGGAGGAGAGUGGAUUGCAAGAGCUGAGCUUUAAGUUGCAGGAAAUCAGUCCUGUGAGGAGUUGGUCCAGGAAUCACUAAGGUGCUGGCUCAGUGUCAAGCACACAGUGCCCCAGGGUGGUCCCUCACCUGCAGGGUGUAGCUGAUGGGCUUCCAUGGUUGUUUUCCUGCUAAUGGAGCAUCAACACCAGCAAAGAGGAGACUGAGAACUGAUUACAAAAGUAUACUUACACAGUUCUCCUUUUUCAAACAGAAACAGAAGGAGUAAUGAAAGAUGGUGAUAAUAGGCAAAAAAUAAAAAUGGAAAGGAAAACAAAAAUUGGAGAUUUUAGGGUGAAAAGAGAUGAAAAAAAUGAGGUGACUCUACUGGGCAGCUGGGUACCACUGGCUUGCCCAGCUGUGAUUGCCUUGGAGCCACCAACUGUGAGCACUGAGGUGAGGAUGCAUGAGCAUCCAUCACCACUGCCUCAGAGGAGCAACAGGCUGAGACUCUUCAAACAAAACCCCAAGAGUAGUUCAGCAAUGCUGCUGUCACAGCAAAUUCAUUUUCUGCAGAGGAGAAGAAGGGGACAGCAGAGUUAUAUACACUUGCAACCAAAUCUGUCCCUGGCUAUCACUUCUGCCUUAGCAAGACCUGACAUCCUGCCUGCUAUGAACAUUAUCAGAACAAUGACACAGAGAAUAUUGCUGUUGAGCAGCCUAUAUUCAGCCAGCUGCACAGGGAAGGCUUUUUGCAAACAACAUGUAGAGGCUUUCAAAGAAUUAAAUACAAAUAACCCAAAGUUUCCACUGACACCAACUUUAAGAUUAAAAUUCCAGAGUGCCAGCUGCCUACACAGAUGUUGGCCAGGCAGUUUUUCCACUUCCCAGUUCAGAGCUCCUUUGCUGCUCUAUCCCUGUGUGCAGCCAAAGAGCCCUGCAAAGCCAUCAAUGCCACCAGCUUCCUGCCAAGGGAAACCAAUGCUGUUCUAGCCCACACCUGAACUCACAUCCACAAUGAGAGAGCUUAGAACUCAGCUGGUUAAUGCUCUAAUUACUGGACAGUAAGCUUCUGAGUCUUCAUUAGAGCAAAAGGCCCUCAAAGACUCUGAUACCAGCACUUCUGCCUACAGGAUACAGAGCUGGGAAGCAUUGAGAGCUACACAACCACUGCACCAGCAGCUUGAACUUCAGAUACCCAAGACUGACAAGUACCUGACAAGGCAGACUACUUUUAAAAUUAUAAUACUUUUUUGGAAAAACACCCAAACAAAUCCCAAAUAAAUCUAAACCUCACCCACCCAUUUUCCAGAGUGUCAAGUCAAAUGAUCAUUGCCCUGUGCAGUGAAACCCAAAUGACUCACCCAACUGAAACAGGGUGCUGUGAGAUGGAAUUGUUUUUACCUUAUCUGUGACCAUUUCCUAACUCAGAACGAGAAGCCCACAACAAGGUAAUUCAGCAUUAUUCCUAAAUUGUAUCAGGAUACAGCUGGAUAUUAAGGCAAACUCAAAAUAUCAGAGAUUAUUGCACAGAGCAAAUCUGCUCCAAGACAGGGGCUUUAAGGGAGGUUAUGCCUAUAUUUUAUAUAUGUGGUAUAUAUAUGGGCAUAUUUAUUAAAACCAAACUUUGGGUUUUAAGUGAAGCAAUGGAUAAUUCUUGUUGGGAACACCUCCCUUAUUCUGGAGAACAUGGCAAGAUUUCCUCUCGGGAUUUGAGAGUGUGUAGGGAGAUCUGCAUUCAUACCAUAAAGCAUUCAGAGGAGAAAAAACACUCUCUGUAUUCUGGUGACAGUCAGUGCACGUUUUCUAAAGCAUGGUUUUAAUAAGAAGGUCAGGUCUAUCACAUGGUGUACAAUUCUGCAGUGGGUAAAUACAUGUUCUUAAAUAAGCAAGGGAAUAAAAGUGUCACCUCCUCUUAGCCCUCUUUGAACAUACAUUAAAAUGACAAGACAUCUCACCAGUCUCUUGUUGUAAAAUUAUCAUUUACACAUACAAUCUGUUUAUCCAUUUAAUUAUCUCUUCCAAACCUGGAUUUAACCAGCCAGAUAAAGAUCACUUGUUUGCUGUAUAAAAUCCCAGUGGAUUUUUGCCCAAGGACUGCAGGUUGGGUGCUUCAGACUCUCUCUGCUUUAAUUUGGAUGUAUUUUAUAGUACUAAUUUCACUGAAAUUUGAGUAAUGCUAAGCCAGUCAGAUGAUUGCAAUAAAUUAGUUAUCCAAACUUUGUAAUUCAUACACCUUUAACUGUGUUUGUUUAAUCAUUGAGAAUGACAAUUUCUGUUGGAGAACAAAGCAAGUAAAAGAAAAGCCAGAUAAAAGAUGGAACAUUGCAGAACCGUUUCAGAAAAUUUAGCAAAAGUUACCAAAACUAAGUAUAUGAUCUGAAU